UACAGAGGUCUCAAGCGUUGUUCGGAUUCAUUGGGCGUAAAGGGUGCGUAGGUGGCGGGGUAAGUCAGGUGUGAAAUCUCGGGGCUCAACCCCGAAACUGCACUUGAUACUGCCUUGCUCGAGUACUGGAGAGGAGAUUGGAAUUUACGGUGUAGCAGUGAAAUGCGUAGAUAUCGUAAGGAAGACCAGUGGCGAAGGCGAAUCUCUGGACAGUUACUGACACUGAGGCACGAAGGCCAGGGGAGCAAGCGGG
rnacentral:rRNA from 1 species